rnacentral:misc_RNA from 1 species
AAGUCGUAACAAGGUAUCUGUAGGUGAACCUGCAGAUGGAUCAUUUCGAUGAAAACCUUUUUUCUGAGGUGUGGCUCGCACCUGUCUAACUAAACUUGAGCUACCUUUUUCAACACGGUUGCAUCGGUAGAGUGGCGAACGCGCGUUCUUUGACGUGAGCUCGCCCUCUACACUUUACACAAACACUUUUGAUCUUCUAGGAUUUGAAUGACAAUUUAUGACUGGUAAUUCGGUCGUUUAAAUUUAAAAAACAACUUUUGGCAACGGAUCUCUUGGUUCUCC